rnacentral:lncRNA from 1 species
GGUAAUAACAUCAGGCGAAGAAGCAUCCUCGCGGGCACGUAUAGCAUAAGCUCUAGCAGGUGCACGAGCCUCGGAUCUGGUCGUAGCAUCUCUAGAUCCUCUCUGACCACCACCAGCAUUGCCCAUAUUUCCAGAUGGUCUACCUCGAGCAGUGGUAGCACCCGGUUUCCCACUCUGAUUUACAUUCUGUUUAGACAACCUCG